UUGUUGUUACGCAAAAUCAAAAUCAAAAUGGAGAAACAUAUGUUAUGUUUAGACUGGCUUAUAAUAUGUUUAGAUGUUUAUUGAUAAUAUGUUUAGAUAAUUUAUGAUUGCCUCGUGUCUAAAUUAGCUUAUAAGUAUACUUAUUUUGAUACACCUUGACAUGUUCAAUGGACUAGUUUUAAGUAUAAUUAUUUUGAUACACCUUGAUUG
rnacentral:lncRNA from 1 species